AGGUAGAAACUCUAUAAGAUGCACCAAGUGUAAGCUAUGGACACAUAAGAGGUGCAGCAAUAUCAAAGGAAGGCUAACUGGUAAGAUAGUUUUUGUUUGUGGUAAAUGCUCAGGGGUAAUAAACACUGAAAAUGUGCAGAGAACAGAUUCCAUAAUAUGCCAGGGGG